GUGGACAUAUUUAGGCUGGCUGGACUCCUUUCCACAUGGGGGUCCAGUAUGCAGUAGCUGCAAACAGCAGCAUCCUUGGUAGUAUAUUAAGACUGUUGCUUGCUUGAGUUGCACUUAAGGGUCCUUUAGAGAUAGGG
rnacentral:snoRNA from 1 species